UACGUAGGAUGCGGGCGUUAUCCGGAUUUAUUGGGUUUAAAGGGUGCGCAGGCGGCACGGCAAGCCGGCGGUCAAAUCGCGGGGCUCAACCCCGCCCAGCCGUCGGAACUGCCGGGCUAGAGUGGGCGAGAAGUGCGCGGAAUGCGUGGUGUAGCGGUGAAAUGCAUAGAUAUCACGCAGAACUCCGAUUGCGAAGGCAGCGCACCGGCGCCCUACUGACGCUCAGGCACGAAAGCGUGGGUAUCGAACAGG
rnacentral:rRNA from 1 species